rnacentral:rRNA from 1 species
GUGGGGAAUAUUGGACAAUGGGCGAAAGCCUGAUCCAGCCAUGCCGCGUGUGUGAAGAAGGUCUUCGGAUUGUAAAGCACUUUAAGUUGGGAGGAAGGGCAGUAAGUUAAUACCUUGCUGUUUUGACGUUACCGACAGAAUAAGCACCGGCUAACUUCGUGCCAGCAGCCGCGGUAAUACGAAGGGUGCAAGCGUUAAUCGGAAUUACUGGGCGUAAAGCGCGCGUAGGUGGUUUUGUAAGUUGGAGGUGAAAUCCCCGGGCUCAACCAGGGAACUGCCUCAAAAACUGCAUGACUAGAGUACGGUAGAGGGUAGUGGAAUUUCCUGUGUAGCGGUGAAAUGCGUAGAUAUAGGAAGGAACACCAGUGGCGAAGGCGACUACCUGGACUGAUACUGACACUGAGGUGCGAAAGCGUGGGGAGCAAACAGGAUUAGAAACCCUGGUAGUCC